rnacentral:rRNA from 1 species
CAGUAGCCGCGGGAAUACGAAGGGGGCUAGCGUUGUUCGGAUUUACUGGGCGUAAAGCGCACGUAGGCGGAUCGAUCAGCCAGGGGUGAAAUCCCAGAGCUCAACUCUGGAACUGCCUUUGAUACUGUCGAUCUGGAGUAUGGAAGAGGUGAGCGGAAUUCCGAGUGUAGAGGUGAAAUUCGUAGAUAUUCGGAGGAACACCAGUGGCGAAGGCGGCUCACUGGUCCAUUACUGACGCUGAGGUGCGAAAGCGUGGGGAGCAAACAGGAUUAGAUACCCGCGUAGUCCCUGUCUCUUAUAC